GCCAGCAGUUGUGGCGCGGUUGGCACGGUUUCCUGUGGGAUACUUCUUAUCCUUGUGGCUGAAGAAGUACCAGUCACUUUGAUGCUCUGGUGCGUCGUCCCCGAUCCUGCACACUUCUGAUCGGUGCAACAAGUUUUUGUCAAUACUGCUGGACCAUUUCAUGCUAUCAAUAGAUGAGGAGAACAUGCUCUUGAGCUUAUGUUGAUCACAAUUCAAUGGAUAGUACUGUUUUAAAUGUUUAUUUUUUGACGAAACUAGAUGAGGAGGUUGAACACUGCACCAUACUACCUUCAGGAUUCCGAUGCUUACCAUGGAGGUCCCAGGGCUCGAUUUUGUAAAGGUCCAACUCCUGAAUGAGCUGGUCUCGCUGAAACCUCCCCACCUUGCCGUGCAAGUAGUACCCGAC
rnacentral:lncRNA from 1 species